AUUUGUCCAAAGUCAUGCAAAUCCUUUUUAAAGUCUGGACUUAAAUUGAAAGUCACUACACUGCCAUUGUCAUAGAAUUGAUAUGAUUAUCAAUCCCUGAAAAAUCAGUGAAUGGAUUCUGUAAAUGGCUGUAAGGUGAAUUUCCUAACCUUACUCUUUCUUAAUGGUCAAGUUAGCCAUUGGAAUGUUUGAGGUAGUUAGCCUUAAUACUUUCAAUUCUGAUCAUUUAACUCACUCAUUUUUUUUUUCUCUAAGGUAGAAUCACAGCAGGCAAGCAGGGGAAGUCAGAAUGACUUUCUUGUCUUCCAUCUUUCUAUCUCCUCAGUCCCUCAUAACAUUGCUGAGUUUGGUAAUAAAAGAGAAGAAAAGGUCCCAACAAAGACCACUAUAUAUGAUAGCAGUAAUCCUCAGUCUAUAACCCAAUCAUAUAUAGAGGGAAAGAUGAUCAAGAUGAUCCAUGAGCAUCAGUGUCCUUCUGCUUACCCAUAUCAAAAUGAUGAUACAUCUCAUGUCUGGGAACAUCCGAAGCCUGAAGGACAGGCAACAUCAGAGUAACUGCUCCUAUUUGAUAUGAAUAUCAACAUUAACAUGUAGCCUCUACUCUGGAUUUCUGUUGCUAAAUAAAACCUUUAAAUUCAAUUGUCUGUGGACUCUG
rnacentral:lncRNA from 1 species